rnacentral:misc_RNA from 1 species
AAAAAAAAAAAAAAAAAAAUCAUGAUUCAGUAAGGACAGAGUUCAAAAGUUGCACCUGAAAUUGAACCUCCAAAAAUUUCUCAAAUGGCUCCAAUGAUGCACAAUAUAGUAAGAUAGCCUAUCAUGAGUUCAGAAAUUCCUUAAUCAAACCCAAAAUCCUGAUGUAAAUUAUUAACCAUCUUGUCUAACCGCAAUCCCUCCAAUCCCGUGCCCCCACCCCGUUCUCCCAGCAAGAAGAAGAAGAAGAAUCCAGGACAAAAGACAGCAAAAAUCUCACUUGAGAAAUCUACUUCAAUAAAUAUGACUACUCAAUUCCUCUGGUCAAAUUCUCUGAAAGUGUUGAGAUUACACCCGAGCAUAAGAAGAUAAAUAUAAGCCUUUUGAAAAAAUGGUAGAUGACUAUUAGGUGAUGGUUUCUCAUAUGUGUUCCACUCACCCAUCAAUCCAUCACUGAAAGUCUAAAUCAUGCUACAGAAUUUAAACUGAAAUAAGAACAAAGGUAAAGUAAGCAAACCAGAAACAAAG